rnacentral:rRNA from 1 species
GCACAUUUAUUUUCUAAUUCAAUUAUAAAUAUUUUUUAUAAUUUACUGUUAAAUCUUUUUUUGUAAUUUUUGAUUAAAUAUUAUUCCUUAAAUAAUAUUUAAUAUAACUCAUCUUAUCUUAAAUAUAAACCACACCUUGACCUAAUUUUUUAGAAAAAUUAUUUGGAACUUUUAUUUUUAAAUUUAUUCUUAAAAUGGCGGUAUAUCAGUUGAGAAUAUAAGUGAAAAUUAGCGCGGAAUAUCGAUUAAAAGACAAGUU